rnacentral:rRNA from 1 species
AUUGAACGCUGGCGGCAGGCUUAACACAUGCAAGUCGAGCGGAGAUGAGGUGCUUGCACCUUAUCUUAGCGGCGGACGGGUGAGUAAUGCUUAGGAAUCUGCCUAUUAGUGGGGGACAACAUUCCGAAAGGAAUGCUAAUACCGCAUACGUCCUACGGGAGAAAGCAGGGGAUCUUCGGACCUUGCGCUAAUAGAUGAGCCUAAGUCGGAUUAGCUAGUUGGUGGGGUAAAGGCCUACCAAGGCGACGAUCUGUAGCGGGUCUGAGAGGAUGAUCCGCCACACUGGGACUGAGACACGGCCCAGACUCCUACGGGAGGCAGCAGUGGGGAAUAUUGGACAAUGGGGGAAACCCUGAUCCAGCCAUGCCGCGUGUGUGAAGAAGGCCUUAUGGUUGUAAAGCACUUUAAGCGAGGAGGAGGCUACUGAGACUAAUACUCUUGGAUAGUGGACGUUACUCGCAGAAUAAGCACCGGCUAACUCUGCGCCAGCCGCCGCGGUAA